rnacentral:lncRNA from 1 species
GAGUGUCGCCACCUCCAGGGAGCAGCCAGGCCUGGAUACCCACCCCAGGCCCUGGCUCUGCCACUGAUCACAACCCCCCACCAGGGCUGGCCUCUCCUCAAACCUGGGCACAGCCUAGUGCCAAGCCCUUGCUGAGGACCCCUGCUGCAUCCCACUGCCAGGGCACCCUCCUCUCCACCCUCCUCACUCCAAGGCAGUCAGCAGGACCCCUGAGCCAGCCUCGGGGCUGGAGGGCUUCGGGUUUUACGCUAAUGGUGCUGGGAUCGUCCGGCCAGAGACAAUGAAGUUGACCCCUGAUGCUGAGAUCCUGAGCCCCACGGGGUCACCACAUCCCCACGUCUGCCAUGACAACAGUCCCAGCUGCCCAGGGCUGGGGAAGGCCUGCCUGGCACCCCGCAUACCAGGAAGGAGCAUGAUUGGCUGUUCUGGCCAUGCCAUGUGCCCCGUCCUGAGGCUCCUGCCAGGCUGACAGGAAACAGCCCAGAGCUGAGGUCUUUGAGCCGGUCAUUCCAACAUUGCAAGCACCACCCAGUCCUCCUGGCUGAAGUUGAGUGAGAACGCCGGAUGCGGGUGCAGAAAGACUGCGUCCAGGGAGCACUGCCCACAGGCCGAGCCGGGGCCUCCCGCAAGAGGAAGGAGGUGCCCUCAAGGCUACGGACCUGGGGUCCCGGUGGUGACGCCCCACGGGGCUCAGGCCUAAAGAGGCCGAGAGGGCCUCGGGGACCCAGUGCAUGCCCCACGCUGAGCAGCACAGGCUGCCCCACCGUGGGCUCCCCGAUC